rnacentral:lncRNA from 1 species
CUCCUCUUCUUCCCCUCCCCCAAAGUCUAUGGGGUUUGUUACCUCACAUGUUGCUUUUCUGGUGGCAGGACCAAGGCAACUUUGAAAGAAAGCAUCUAAUCAGGGCCCUGCUGACCGUUUUAGUUUUAGAUUAUCAUGGUGGGAAGCAGGCAGGCAGGCAUUGUGUUGGAGCAUUUUUAUAUCCUGAUCAGGUAGCAGGUGGCAGGAUGGGGGGGGCGGGGAGACGGCAUAUCUGUAGAUGAGAGUUGCUGGGAGAAAGCUUCCAGGAAAUUGCUAAAGCAGGUGUCUGCAUGGGCUGUUCCUGUGUUAGCCAAACACAGAGCCCCAAGUUCACACUACUGUUAGCGUCUCUCCCACUGGGGAGUGCACAGCAUGUCCUCUUGUCCUUCCUCCUCUAAAAUUAGGCCAUUGCAACAGCAUCAGAAGUGUUUAAAAUGGCUUAUGUAAAGGUAUCUUUUCAUUAAAAUCAGGUUUAAUUAUAAUUAUGUUUAGUUAUAAUUGGUUUAUGUAAUAACACUUUUUGGACACAGUACUUCUGAAAGAGGUGCAGAGUUCGUUUUGGCAAAAAUAAAAAGCCUCAUUCGUAGCAUGUCAUAGAUGACACACGGAGACUGGCAGAUAUUUUUAAAAAAUGUAAAAAAAAAUUUAAAAAGCCAGACAAAAUCAUAGGGCAAGCCAUAAACAAAAGAGAGCCUUAAUGUGAUUUAAAUACCGUGACUGAGAUGCAGUCAGCGUCAGCCUGGACUGAGUUGGACACCACAUCAUCCUCUAUGGAAAUGUAUUCUAGCAAAAGACUACUACGGUCACCAUCUGUCCCCCACAUCUCACCGACUGGCCUGUCCCCCAGUGAGAUGCAGCAGAUAUGUUUAACAUAAGCACAUCUUCCUCUCACUACAAAGUGUGUCACCCCAGUGUUGUGAAGACUGUUUCAGGGAACUAUUAAGACAACUGGCGCGCACUCGAGCACACACACACACACACACACACACACACACGGGGGGGGGGCACUUCUGAUAGACCUGUGAACAUUCGUUGGUCUUAUGUGUGCUUUAAAAUUUGUCCUUUAGGGGUAAAAUAUAGAAGGAAGCUUUAUUUAGUGAAACCAUUUCAGUCUUUGGUUCCCUGAGAACAGUACCAAGAUUGUCGCCAUACACCUCAACUGAUGUCAGAUGUCCUCUACAGUGAUGGCUGGAGGACCCGGCCUCUCAGUCCCUGAGAUGGAGUCUGCAGGGGCUCCCUUCAGAUUACUUUGGAAGUACUGCAGAAGCAGUGGUGUGAUUGGCUGCCUGGAAAGUGUUCUGCCUUCAGCUGUGUUCUUGUCUUUUGUCAGACUGCGUAGUAUCUUACUGACUGCUGGAAGGAAUGAAACCGUAUUGUCUAUCUAUUGCUUAGGAAGCACCCCUAGUCUGCAGAUCUCUAGUUAGUCCUAAAAAAGCCCUUUGUAGGUCUGUGGAACUCUUCCUGAUAAGAUAGGGGCCUUAGAAGUAUGUGCACACUGCAGGGGAAAGAUUAAACAUUUUAUUGUAUGAGGUUGUAUGAAACUGACCCUUUAUGGGACUAAAAUGAAGCCUUAUUUGGGAACUAAGCUGCAAUUAAUAGAAGCAAAGGAAAAUAUAAAUCAUAUUUUGCAGCAGACUCAAUUGUCAUAAGAGGCAAGACAAAACAAAAAUGUUUACUGCCAUUUACUUUGUAUAAAUUGUUGAUUAGGGAACAACAGCAGUGGGGCUCGUGGCCAAGGAAGUAAACAGAACAGUAUCCUGAAGAAGGGAUGCUUUGGCACUACAGGCGUAGAUAACUUGCCUCAUCUACUGUGUGAACAGAAUUAACCCAAAUAACUGGGGUUGAAAGAUAACAAAACUGAUGAGGUGAAUGGAGAUGGCAACAGAGUAUCUUCAUGCGAUACCACUUCUUGGCCAUGGGGACCGCUGCCAUUGGUGUAGGGGGCAAGAUUCAUAAUUCAUUUGAAAUUCAAGAGCAGCAGACUGGGUAAUAGCAGUUUUGGAUAAAUCCUUGGCCAGCUGAAUACUAGCGCCUAAACCCACUCAGAUACAAAUGUGAAGGGCAUUAUGCAGAAGACGGUGGCCAGCUGUUCUCUAUCUACCGAGUUCAAACAAUAAGGACUAGAUGUCAGGGAUUUGGGCCAAGAAUAGGAAGACUUAGUGACUGAAUUAAGUUCCUGUGGAACCUUUUGAAAUCUAUCCCUUAAAUCUGGAGCAUGGACAGUCAGUACAGACAGCAUAUAAGAGUGGAGUGUAUGUGUGGGGGAGCCCCAGUGUCAGCUGAAGAUGAGCAUUUAGCUAAAUCAGGAAGCUGCCUUUGGAGAGGAGCAGAGUCUGUUUUUGGCUUUCUUGGUUAACACGAUUUUGAAUUAAAUCUUGUUCUCAUUGGCAUCUGCCUACAGUUUCCGAGCCGCUGCCUCCUGCAGAGUAUUGCUAAACAACACUUGGCAUCAACAGAGUUUGUUUUUGAGAAUUAUCAUUUCACCUCCUCUUCCAACUUCUCCUGUGCCCCCCACUCCCUCUCAAAUUGAGGAUCUCUUAAUUUUGAUAAUUGUUACAUAGACCCACACAUGGAACUAUAAAUAGGACCUGCUGAGUCUGCUGAUACUACUCCUUUGUAUGUCUGUGUAGGGAUGACCACUUGGAUUUGGAUGACUGGGUAGGGGGCGUGUCCCUGAGAAAGCAGAUUCUCCCUCUCUCAGCAAUCAUUAAUUGCCUGUAAUGCCUCCCUUAGAGGCGGCGCCUUGUGAAAUUUCUUCCAUCCACGUUGGCAUGUCAACUGAUGGUGUCGUCCUUUAGGGCAGUCAUAUUGUUAGGUUUCAUGAGUGCAGCUCUCCUGUUGGAUAAGGAGUGCAGCUCUCCUGUUGCUGAAGACUCCCCCCAACUCUUACCAUCUUUCCACCUCCUUUUCCACGGUGCUCCUUGAGCUUUAGUAAGUGUAGGGUUUGUGUUUUUUAUGUAUCCCUGGGGGAGGAGCACCCCAUGGUCACUUCUGACUUUCUGUAAUGGUCUCCACCUACUGCACAGAAAAGCCUCAUUGAUGAGGGGUGAGAACUGCAAAUUUCACUCUUUACUGGAUUUCCCCCCAAACUACUUUUCAGAGAAAGCCCAUUUCAGGACCAAGAACUGCAAGCAUUAGAGGCAGCACCAAGGGUAUGGCUUUGAGGGCUUGGGUCCUUUAGGUGUUGGACCCGGAGAGCUAGAAUGCUGCAGGAGGGGCAGGUUCUGCUGCUGUGGGUCCAGGGAGAGACUUAUGGUAUAUUAGAUUAGAAUUUUGGGGUAUGACACAAGCAAUCUAUUGCCCUCUUCUACCUUAAGAAUCGCUAAUUCAUUGGGGUGGUGGCGGCACAUGCCUUUAAUCCCAGCAAUCAGGAGGCUGGCCUCGAACUCUCAGAGAUCCACCUGCCUCUGCUGGGAUUAAAGGUGUGCACCACCACUGCCCAGCAGCAUGUUUAAUUUUAUUUUAAAAUGCUGGUGUUUAAAAGUCGUAGCAUACCGAUGAGCAUUGCCCUAAAUUAAAAAAAAAAAAAUUCCCAGUUGGGAAUGUUUAUUUUUAGCUAGUUAUUGGCUUACAGUCCACUCCUUAUUGUCAUUUUUUUUAAAGAUUUUAUUUUCUUAUUAUGUAUACAACAUUCUGCUUCUGUUUAUAUCUGCACACCAGAAGAGGGCACCAGAUCUCAUAAUGGAUGGUUGUGAGCCACCAUGUGAUUCUGGGAACUCAGGACCUCUGGAAGAGCAGUCGGAGCUCUUAACCUCUGAGCCAUCUCUCCAGCCCUCCCUAUUGUCAUUCUGAAACCUGCAAAUCACCUUGGGAGGUGUAUCUUACAACUUCCCUAAUGCUGGAAUGCCCAAUGGCUUGAGCUACCUACAAAUCGUGUAAGAACUGGAAUUUCCAGUUUUCUUUUCCAUUGUCUUCCUCUCCAAAAGCAACUGGGGGUGGGGGGGAGGGGGAGAGUUUGAUCUCCAUCGAGUAGUCAGUACAGAGAAGUCAUAGCUGGAACUCAAGACAACAACUGAUGCAGAGGCCAUGGCUCUAUCAGCUACUUUCUUAUACCCCAGGACCAUGGGCCCAGGGUGGCACUGCCCCUGUGGGAUGGACCCACCCACAUCAUCAGUUGAGAAAGUGUGUUCCAGGCUUGCCCACAAGCUAGUCUGGGAGGAGACUUCUUAAUUGAGAUCCCCUCUUUUGAAAUGACUAUCCUGUGUCAAGUUACAUAAAACUAGCAGGUAGCAUGAAUUUACUUUUGAACUCUUGUUGUCUGUAUUUUGACAAAACCACUCAGUGGCUGCAGAAACCUCCCCCUGAAAGCAAUGGAUUUUGAGAACACAGUCACCACGGAAUCUACACUGAUAAGUUACUGAUAAUGUUGAUAGUCACACAUUGCUACAUCUGUGCACUGAUUUGAAAACAAUCCUUGGGUGACAUUGUAAAAUCAGGAGAAAGGCUUAGGAGGACAGAGGUUGGAGUCCAGUGCCAACUCCUUCUGUGUUCUAUGAAUAGCAGCAAUGUCACCUAGACAAACUCUACCAGUGUUCAAACGUUUUCAUGGAGUAAGUAAACGGCCAGUGCUUCCUGUUGGUGAGGUGUAUUUGACUUAGGCUGGGCAGGAGUUAGAGACACACAUCAGACUAUAGGAAAUUCACUUUCUCACUAACAAAGGAUUUGUACCCAAAUAAAAUUACCAACCUGGUCCACUUAAAAUUUUGGUGUUAGGUUUGGGUGAUUUUAUUCAUUCUUUGGUUUCUGGUGUUAAGGGUUGUACUGACGACCUCGGUGUCCUGGAUGCUUGUCCUCUCUUGAUCCUCAGUGGGCAUUGUUAAGAAGAGUUCUGUCCACUCCCGGUCUGGAAAAAAGGCUCAGCAGUUAAGAGUGCUUCCUGCUUACGUACAGUGCCUCACAACCAUCUGUAACUCCAUUUCUCUUGGACCCAAUGCUCCAUUCUGGUCUGCAAGCAUUCUGCUUGCCUACAUGACAUCACUUAGGCAAACACAAAGAAGUUUUAGGUCACACAAAAGCAUUGCCUCCCUGAAGGUGGUCUGCAACAAGCAGUCUCCCCCGUUCUAUUAUAAUUCAUGGUCAGGUGGGCCACUGCCAGGGUAAGUAGUUAUAGAUAUAUACUUUCCAAACACAAUACAGCCAAAUCUGG